rnacentral:rRNA from 1 species
AUGAACGCUGGCGGCGUGCUUAACACAUGCAAGUCGAACGGAAAGGCCCAAGCUUGCUUGGGUACUCGAGUGGCGAACGGGCGAGUAACACGUGGGUGAUCUGCCCUGCACUUCGGGAUAAGCCUGGGAAACUGGGUCUAAUACCGGAUAGGACGAUGGUUUGGAUGCCAUUGUGGAAAGUUUUUUCGGUGUGGGAUGAGCUCGCGGCCUAUCAGCUUGUUGGUGGGGUAAUGGCCUACCAAGGCGUCGACGGGUAGCCGGCCUGAGAGGGUGUACGGCCACAUUGGGACUGAGAUACGGCCCAGACUCCUACGGGAGGCAGCAGUGGGGAAUAUUGCACAAUGGGCGCAAGCCUGAUGCAGCGACGCCGCGUGGGGGAUGACGGCCUUCGGGUUGUAAACUCCUUUCGCUAGGGACGAAGCGUUUUUGUGACGGUACCUGGAGAAGAAGCACCGGCUAACUACGUG